ACCGAAUAGGGGAGCCGAAGGGAAACCGAGUCUUAACUGGGCGUUAAGUUGCAGGGUAUAGACCCGAAACCCGGUGAUCUAGCCAUGGGCAGGUUGAAGGUUGGGUAACACUAACUGGAGGACCGAACCGACUAAUGUUGAAAAAUUAGCGGAUGACUUGUGGCUGGGGGUGAAAGGCCAAUCAAACCGGGAGAUAGCUGGUUCUCCCCGAAAGCUAUUUAGGUAGCGCCUCGUGAAUUCAUCUCCGGGGGUAGAGCACUGUUUCGGCAAGGGGGUCAUCCCGACUUACCAACCCGAUGCAAACUGCGAAUACCGGAGAAUGUUAUCACGGGAGACACACGGCGGGUGCUAACGUCCGUCGUGAAGAGGGAAACAACCCAGACCGCCAGCUAAGGUCCCAAAGUCAUGGUUAAGUGGGAAACGAUGUGGGAAGGCCCAGACAGCCAGGAUGUUGGCUUAGAAGCAGCCAUCAUUUAAAGAAAGCGUAAUAGCUCACUGGUCGAGUCGGCCUGCGCGGAAGAUGUAACGGGGCUAAACCAUG
rnacentral:rRNA from 1 species